CCUACGGGAGGCAGCAGUGGGGAAUAUUGCACAAUGGGGGAAACCCUGAUGCAGCGACGCCGCGUGAGUGAAGACGUAAUUCGUUAUGUAAAGCUCUAUCAGCAGGGAAGAAAAUGACGGUACCUGAGUAAGAAGCCCCGGCUAACUACGUGCCAGCAGCCGCGGUAAUACGUAGGGGGCAAGCGUUAUCCGGAUUUACUGGGGGGAAAGGGAGCGUAGACGGCAGUGCAAGUCUGGAGUGAAAGGCGGGGGCUCAACCCCCGGACUGCUCUGGAAACUGUACGGCUGGAGUGCAGGAGAGGUAAGUGGAAUUCCUGGUGUAGCGGUGAAAUGCGUAGAUAUUAGGAGGAACACCAGUGGCGAAGGCGGCUUACUGGACUGUAACUGACGUUGAGGCUCGAAAGCGUGGGGAGCAAACAGGAUUAGAUACCCCGGUAGUC
rnacentral:rRNA from 1 species